UCUGAACACACAGCAUGAGAAUACAUUUUCAAAGCAACUCAAUUCGGGCGCCAUCUGUUGCCAAGCAAUUGCAAUUCUUUUAAUAGCACUACUGAUCUUGCCAAUUGCUUAUUUGGGACAGCAGAUGGCGCACGUGAGGGAUAAUUUUAUUUUUUUUAGUCGAUUGGAAAUUUGUGCUUAUUUUGGGAAAUUUUAUUUUUGAAUUUACACUUAGCGCGCGUCAUACGUCACCGUCUUACGCUCUCUCGCUUUCUGCACUCGUCACCGCGCACUUAAAUUAUUUUCCAACGCCGCACCCACACAUUAACAUUCUUUUGACACUUUUCGCCGUGUCGGCACUACGCGUUUUCGCACACUUAUUCGAUUAUUUGUUGACGCGCUCCGCGAAGCGGUUUUCGUUUGAAAAACACCGUUGAAAGUUUGCUCACUUUCACUGAUAAGGGGAUUUGUAACUUUCUUCUCUAAAGUGAACGUGUGGUAACAUGGGCGAUAGCUGACAACGCGCUCACAACAACAUUUCGCACACAAACACACACACGCAAAACCGGACGAGGACGGAAACACAUGUCCUUCGUUGGUAUUUUUAAAAUUUACAUAAAUAAACAAACAGAUUUUCGAAAUUUCUUUUUUCUUGCCGCUCAGCGACGCUGAUCAACGACGAUCACAGGCAAUUGCUGAGAUCAGAAUAUAUAUUUAUAUAUAUUUGUAAAGAUAUUUUUGCGAUUAUUUUAUGCUUUCCACGAUCUUGACACUCAAAACGCACUCACUUCACGCCCUUACACAAACACGGACACAAAGGCGGAACGCUGCGCAGCACAUAGUGCAACCAUAUUGGUGUUGACUAUUCGUCCCUCCAUCGAUUAAUCUAGCCGUGCAUUAUAUUCAGCGGUUAUUUUUAUGAAAUCAUGCAGUAUUAUUGAAAAGGCAUUGUUUCAAAAACAUUUCUCCACCGAACACUGAGCAGGGAAAAUCGCACAUCGUCGGAAAUCAAGUGAAAAUUUAUAAAUAAACCGUUUUUUCGAAUAAGCUAUUUUAAAAAAAAAGCCAACACAGUCGCGCGCUCACGAUCCGACCAUCCGCGCCAACACACAGCGUACCGCCAGUCGAUCGAACGCUGCCUUGCAAUGCUACGACUGUUGCCACAGCGUGUUGCCUGUGUUCACUGUUUGGUGCUGUUGCCGUUGUGAGACCGAUCCUCAACUGGCGCUGAUCCUCCUACAGCUGCGGGAGCUGUUGCUGCCAGCGCUACAAAGUCCGUUUCAGCAUUUAUUGCUGCUGAUGCUUCUUCUUCUUCGGCAUCUUUAAAUUCUGCCUCUUCGUCUUCUAUUUAUUGCCGUGCUAUACUCGUAUUUAUUGUUGCCAGCAAGCAGCUAGCUACAACAAUAUAGCGAUGUCCGUUUGUUGUGAUCGCUUAGCAGCCAUUUCGUUUUUAAUUUUAGAGACGAAACAUAGCAUGUCUAUUUUCUUCUAAUUAUAUCGCUAACGGUGAGGAGAAAUGGCCAAUGUAUACAAAAAUUAUGAACCAGAAAGUUGUUGUAAAAAUAUAAGCUCUGCAGUAUGAAAUGAGGCAUACAGUUGAAACGAAACGGAAGCGCAUAUAAUAAAGACUUUAUUGAAAAAGUGUGGUUCCAAGAGGCGAUUCUCAGCUAAUCACGACCUCCAGAGAGAUCGAGAGAGUAAUUCCUACAAACAAAUUUGCGUUGAACAAAGUUUCGUAUAUUCUACUUCAGUUAUCGAAGAUCACACGACUACUUUCGAAGCUUACCGAGAGAUAAAAUUAUUUAAAUAGGACUUGAACCAAAACAGACUACGGACAGCGCCGUUUUUUUCUCAAAACUCGUACGAUACAGAGUCAACGGUUUCUUUUUUCUCAAAGCUUCAUAUUUACUAUUGGAGACUGUCUUCUUAACAGAGGACUAAAGAUGUCUAAAAGACGCGUCUAAUCAAUGAUCAAAGACUUUCAAGGCGACCUGCGGUUUUAUUUAUUGCACACCACUAGAUAAUUUGCUUAAAUGGCUAUGGACUUGGAGAAACCUCUAAGAGAAUUUUCAUAUAGAACUCCGGCUAAUAAAUGAACAUUCCUCAAUUGAAUGUUUAGUAUUCCCGGAAUAGUCGAACAUUUUUCGUCAGAAGAUCUUUCAGUACAGAUCUCAAGAACUCAAUUUUGAUAACGGAAAUCCGUUAUUAAAAUAGAUAAUUUCAAAUUUUGUUAUAUUGAAGAGUGGAAUUCACUUUUGGUUUUAACCUUGUAACGAUUUGUCGAUUUAUGAAGCAUAAGGAUAAAUAAAUACUUGUAACUUAAGGAAGCCAAGUUACAUUUGAGAUGACAUUCGGGUCAUCCUGAAGCCAAAAAACAAGCAAAUCAACGGUCUUUUUUGGUUAUACUCGAAAAACAUGGUACACUAAAACAGUUCCAAUGCGGUAGUUUCAUAAGAACUGAAGCCGCACGACCAUCCCAAACGGUAUCGCUUCGAUCUAUGAGGUCUUAAAAAAGUUCCUUGAAGUCCGACGAAGGUUUGUUCAGCGACGAGGCCCAUUUCUGGCUCAAUGGGUAUGUGAACAAGCAAAA